rnacentral:rRNA from 1 species
UAGGGAAUUGUUCGCAAUGGGCGCAAGCCUGUCGACGCAACGCCGCGUGGAGGAUGAAGACUUUCGGGUCGUAAACUCCUUUCGAUCGAGAUGAAAACUUGCCGGUCCAAUACACCGGCAAGCUGACAGUAUCGGCAGAAGAAGCCCCGGCUAACUCCGUGCCAGCAGCCGCGGUAAUACGGGGGGGGCAAGCGUUGUUCGGAAUUACUGGGCGUAAAGGGUUCGUAGGUGGCCUGCUAAGUCCGACGUGAAAUCCCUCAGCUCAACUGGGGAACUGCGUCUGAGACUGGUAGGCUUGAGUGCAGGAGAGGAACGCGGAAUUCCAGGUGUAGCGGUGAAAUGCGUAGAUAUCUGGAGGAACACCGGUGGCGAAGGCGGCGUUCUGGACUGCUACUGACACUGAGGAACGAAAGCCAGGGGAGCAAGC